rnacentral:rRNA from 1 species
UUGAACGCUGGCGGCAGGCCUAACGCAUGCAAGUCGAGCGGAUGAGUGGAGCUUGCUCCAUGAUUCAGCGGCGGACGGGUGAGUAAUGCCUAGGAAUCUGCCUGGUAGUGGGGACAACGUUUCGAAAGGAACGCUAAUACCGCAUACGUCCUACGGGAGAAAGCAGGGGGACCUUCGGGCCUUGCGUUAUCAGAUGAGCCUAGGUCGGAUUAGCUAGUAGGUGAGGUAAUGGCUCACCUAGGCGACGAUCCGUAACUGGUCUGAGAGGAUGAUCAGUCACACUGGAACUGAGACACGGUCCAGACUCCUACGGGAGGCAGCAGUGGGGAAUAUUGGACAAUGGGCGAAAGCCUGAUCCAGCCAUGCCGCGUGUGUGAAGAAGGUCUUCGGAUUGUAAAGCACUUUAAGUUGGGAGGAAGGGCAGUAAGUUAAUACCUUGCUGUUUGACGUUACCAACAGAAUAAGCACCGGCUAACUUCGUG